GGCAAUGGCUAUGCCUCCUUUGAGGUUGAAAGACCACCCUGGUCCCAUUGGCAACAUUAGGUCAAAAUCUAUCACUUGUCCACUGAGUAGUGUCUGCGUUUGGGGCAAGUAAUGGUAAUUUGCAAGAUAACAGCAGCUUGAUGUUUGCAAUUCUGGUGAAGAAAAAUAUUAGCUGAACUCACUGUGUGUUUCUUUUUGAGCAAUACCAGUCUUUGCUCUGAAGAGAAAUUAUGAGUUUGAGAAAGAGUUCAGAAAUAUCUCAGAGCCAUGAUGUAAGUUAAACAAAAUGUGCUUGCAUUAGUGAAUCGUGGCCCUGAUUUGUUAGCCUUCUUUGAAUUUCUCUGAUCCGGGGCACUUACUGUACCUGGUUGCAGCUGAAUACAGAUAUUGACAGAGACCUCUGAGAGGAGAAACCAAGAUCAUUUAUGACUAUGUCCUCAUUAGGAUCUCAAAUUUCACGGGCACCACAAGGCUACCCCAGCUCAGAUUUAAUCAGCAGCAGACACCCAUCAGAAGGAAGGAAGGUCCAUCCCUGCCCCCAAUGUCUAUUUGCUCCAAGAGCCAGGCCUGCAGAUGUGAAGAGGAGUCACCAUUCCAGCAGUGCCACUGAUGCCACUGAUACUACGCGUGUCAGAGACCAUAUUCACACGUUUACUAGUGCACUCUGAAUCAGGACUCCAGCUGGGAAGUAAUUCCCAAACCUAUGUCGCCGGACAUUGUUAAGUACACUCCCAUGAUCCGAUUCUUCAUCAGCAGGAGUCUCCAUUCUGAAAUAUCAUGAUAUCCCUUAUACAUGGAAUCCAAAAAGAAAUGAAACAAUGAACAACACCGAAACAGACUCAGACAUAGAGAACCAGCUUAUGGUUGCCAGGGGGAAGGGCUGGGGGAAGAGACAGGGAAUUUGGGAUAAACAUGUGUGCACUGCUAUAUUUAAUAUGGAUACCAACAAGGACCUAUUGUCCAGAGCACAGGGAACUCUGUUCAAUGUUAUAUGACAGCCUGGAGGGGAGGGUUGUUUGGGAGAGAAUUGAUAGCUGUAUAUGUAUGACUGAGUCCCUUUGCUGUUCAUUUGAAACAAUCACAGCAUUGUUAAUCAUCUGUAUUCCAAUAUAAAAUAAUUUUUUUUAAAAAAAGACUUGGAAAAAAAUAGGAAUCUGUA